rnacentral:misc_RNA from 1 species
UUUGCUUCAUCGAACUUUUCACCUGCAAAUUUUUAAUUCACAUUAUAAUCAAUGCAAAGAACAAGGGAUAAAAAUGUGUGGCACCUUUUUGAAGGAAUUUAACAGAGUUCUAACAUUGCAAUAGAACCUUUAACUCUAUAGCCAUUUGGGAAAACUGUGGAUCAAUAAAUAAGAUAAGGCUGUUCAAGAUUCCCAAAGAAACAAGAAAAAAAUAAAGAACUCAUUUCAGUAAAUUUCCCAAAACUCAGUGCAUUCAUAACUCAUUUUGGAAGAGGAAACAUCAUCCCCAAGAGAUGAUUGAUUUGAUUGCGAUAUUUAAGCCCAAAACUCUACACAAUUUAACUAAACCUGGACCUUGAAAUAGUUGGGCAAAUAUUUAACACAAUAUAACAAAUAUGCAGUACAUGAUAAGCAAACAUGACACUGUUCCAAAAUUCUAUCUCCAGUAUAUUGAUAAUUUGAUAUUCUCAACCUUCCUUCACAACAGAACAAUGCAACUUCCAAAUGCUUGAGACCUCCAGAAAAAAAAAAAAAUAAUAAUAAUA